rnacentral:rRNA from 1 species
CGGACGGGUGAGUAACGCGUGGGUAACCUGCCCUGUACAGGGGGAUAACAGUCAGAAAUGACUGCUAAUACCGCAUAAGACCACAGCACCACAUGGUGCAGGGGUAAAAACUCCGGUGGUACAGGAUGGACCCGCGUCUGAUUAGCUGGUUGGUGAGGUAACGGCUCACCAAGGCGACGAUCAGUAGCCGGUCUGAGAGGAUGAACGGCCACACUGGAACUGAGACACGGUCCAGACUCCUACGGGAGGCAGCAUG